UUCACCAGCCACAAGGGAUGAUAUCUAUACAUGAUCUGCCAGGAUACGGAAACCUCGAAGCAUUUGAAGGCAUCCACCCUGUAUUAGUUUCAUUUCCUGUUGCUGUGAUAGAAUACUCUGACAGAAGUGGCUGGAGGAAGAAUAGGAUUCCAGCAGAAAGUGUGGCCCAGAGUAAAGGUGUGCCUUCUAGCCUCAAGGUCUGGAUUACAGGCAUGUGUCAUCUUGCCUCAAGAUCAGGCGAAUCUAAGGCAUGUUGUCUUCCUGCCUCAAGAUCUGGAUCACAGUUCUCCAAACUUUGGACUUACAUACAGCAACAUCUCCAACAAUAUUGCAAGUGGAAAGCUGUGAUUACAUCCUUCCAUGACUGUUCCAGAGGCUUUCGGAUGUUCACGGCAGACAAUGGAAACAUACUGCUUUCAUUCCUAGACUUCAAGGUUUGGUUUCAUUGGCUCAGCCACGUUGUGUUCUGGGAAGAAAACAUGGCCCUGACCCAUCUGGAAUGCUCUGGUGAAAGACAGUGAUCAUCACAACAGUGGGGUCAGUAAACAGUAACAGCAGCCAUACUGACUAUUGUUUACCAGCCUCUCACAGGGAGGCAGGUGCCUGCAGAGUGAUUGACAUGCCAUCUCAUCUAAUCCCCACACUAGUGUGGCUCUGAGUGCUUAGCUCCUCUAUAACAGAAUGCAUAGCUGAGCUGGGAAGUGUGCGCCACCUACCCAAGAUCACAAUAUUGAGGAUCGAUAUUGCGGGCUGCUUCAUGUUUAUGUGCCACAGCCCAACAAUAAAACGUGACAGGACGGCAGGGGAACACUGGCUUGAGGCGCUGAGAAAACGUAUCCAUUUGUGCAGCCUGUCCAGAGCGCCCUCCGUUUCCAAGCCAGUCAGAGAGGCACUAGUUCCUCCUCAGCAGGCAGGAUGGCCACUGUUCCUCCCCCCAUCCCCUCCCCACUCAGCUCUCCCACAGGCCUAGAUCCCUGCAAGUCCUGUGGCUGCCAUCCUGCCACCCAGGGGGGCUGCAGAUCUGAAUAAUGUUCUUGGAUUUGUGUCUCUCAUCUUGUCCCUGAUUAGUGCUAACUCUUCCUGGCAAGGCUCCUGCCGGGCUAUUUCUGGAAACAAAAAUUCAU